rnacentral:rRNA from 1 species
CCUACGGGAGGCAGCAGUGAGGAAUAUUGGACAAUGGGCGCAAGCCUGAUCCAGCCAUGCCGCGUGCAGGAUGACGGUCCUAUGGAUUGUAAACUGCUUUUAUACAGGAAGAAACACCUCUACGUGUAGAGACUUGACGGUACUGUAAGAAUAAGGAUCGGCUAACUCCGUGCCAGCAGCCGCGGUAAUACGGAGGAUCCAAGCGUUAUCCGGAAUCAUUGGGUUUAAAGGGUCCGUAGGCGGUUUAGUAAGUCAGUGGUGAAAGCCCAUCGCUCAACGGUGGAGCGGCCAUUGAUACUGCUAGACUUGAAUUAUUAGGAAGUAACUAGAAUAUGUAGUGUAGCGGUGAAAUGCUUAGAGAUUACAUGGAAUACCAAUUGCGAAGGCAGGUUACUACUAAUUGAUUGACGCUGAUGGACGAAAGCGUGGGUAGCGAACAGGAUUAGAUACCCUGGUAGUCCACGCCGUAAACGAUGGAUACUAGCUGUUGGGCGCAAGUUCAGUGGCUAAGCGAAAGUGAUAAGUAUCCACCUGGGGAGUACGAAGCAAGUUUGAAACUUNAAAGGAAUUGACGGG